UAUUAUUUUAAUUAUUAAAUUAAUUAUAGUUGACUAUUUAUUUCAAACGACUUUGUCUCAUUGUUUUCCACAUACAAUGGACGAUGGAAACAGUAAAAUGAUUGUCCAUGUUCACAUAACAAAUGUUGCAUCAAACACGAAUAAUAAUGAGACUCAACGAUUGGUUCAAGAAAAAACAUAUAAAUACGAAUAAAAAUAAAACAAGCCAUGUUUGA